rnacentral:piRNA from 1 species
UGAGGCAAGUAUUGUCAUAUGGGAAC